rnacentral:rRNA from 1 species
CUUGUACACACCGCCCGUCACACCAUGGGAGUUGGUUGCACCAGAAGUAGGUAGCCUAACCGCAAGGAGGGCGAUUACCACGGCAGGGUUCGUGACUGGGGUG